GAUGAACGCUGGCGGCGUGCCUAAUACAUGCAAGUCGAGCGAACAGACGCGGAGCUUGCUCCUCUGACGUUAGCGGCGGACGGGUGAGUAACACGUGGAUACCCUACCUAUCAGUCUGGGAUAACUUCGGGAAACCGGAGCUAAUACCGGAUAAUAUAUUGAACCGCGUGGUUCAAUAGUGAAAGACGGUUUUGCUGUCACUUAUAGAUGGAUCCGCGCCGCAUUAGCUAGUUGGUAAGGUAACGGCUUACCAAGGCAACGAUGCGUAGCCGACCUGAGAGGGUGAUCGGCCACACUGGAACGGAGACAGGGACCAGGCUCCUACGAGAGGCCGCAGUAGGGAAUCUUCCGCAAUGGGCGAAAGCUUGACGGAGCAACGCCGCGUGAGUGAUGAAGGUCUUCGGAUCGUAAAACUCUGUUAUUAGGGAAGAACAAAUGUGUAAGUAACUAUGCACGUCUUGACGGUACCUAAUCAGAAAGCCACGGCUAACUACGUG
rnacentral:rRNA from 1 species